AGUGCGAGUCGAGCGGACAGAUGGGAGCUUGCUCCCUGAUGUUAGCGGCGGACGGGUGAGUAACACGUGGGUAACCUGCCUGUAAGACUGGGAUAACUCCGGGAAACCGGGGCUAAUACCGGAUGGUUGUUUGAACCGCAUGGUUCAAACAUAAAAGGUGGCUUCGGCUACCACUUACAGAUGGACCCGCGGCGCAUUAGCUAGUUGGUGAGGUAACGGCUCACCAAGGCGACGAUGCGUAGCCGACCUGAGAGGGUGAUCGGCCAAACUGGGACUGAGACACGGCCCAGACUCCUACGGGAGGCAGCAGUAGGGAAUCUUCCGCAAUGGACGAAAGUCUGACGGAGCAACGCCGCGUGAGUGAUGAAGGUUUUCGGAUCGUAAAGCUCUGUUGUUAGGGAAGAACAAGUACCGUUCGAAUAGGGCGGUACCUUGACGGUACCUAACCAGAAAGCCACGGCUAACUACGUGCCAGCAGCCGCGGUAAUACGUAGGUGGCAAGCGUUGUCCGGAAUUAUUGGGCGUAAAGGGCUCGCAGGCGGUUUCUUAAGUCUGAUGUGAAAGCCCCCGGCUCAACCGGGGAGGGUCAUUGGAAACUGGGGAACUUGAGUGCAGAAGAGGAGAGUGGAAUUCCACGUGUAGCGGUGAAAUGCGUAGAGAUGUGGAGGAACACCAGUGGCGAAGGCGACUCUCUGGUCUGUAACUGACGCUGAGGAGCGAAAGCGUGGGGAGCGAACAGGAUUAGAUACCCUGGUAGUCCACGCCGUAAACGAUGAGUGCUAAGUGUUAGGGGGGUUUCCGCCCCCUUAGUGCUGCAGCUAACGCAUUAA
rnacentral:rRNA from 1 species